UACAGAGGUCUCAAGCGUUGUUCGGAUUCAUUGGGCGUAAAGGGUGCGUAGGUGGCGCCGUAAGUCAGGUGUGAAAUCUCGGGGCUUAACUCCGAAACUGCAUUUGAUACUGCGGUGCUUGAGGACUGGAGAGGAGACUGGAAUUUACGGUGUAGCAGUGAAAUGCGUAGAGAUCGUAAGGAAGACCAGUGGCGAAGGCGAAUCUCUGGACAGUUACUGACACUGAGGCACGAAGGCCAGGGGAGCAAACGGG
rnacentral:rRNA from 1 species